GGCGGCGAGAGUCUGUGCAGCGCCCACUUCGUUUCUGGGUCACCGUCCAUGGAUUGUGAUAGUCCAGAUUUUGUUCCAUCCGUUUUUUCACACAGCAGCAACAGAGACAUCUCGGGAAAGGUGGCAAGAUAUGAAAGAAAGAGAAUAAGG